GGAUGUUGGGGUGAGGGGUGGUGGCGAUGCAGGGGAGGAGCCCCUACGAGGACCAGAGUAAAUAACUGCUACCAUUCAUUCAGUUGGCUGCACGGGGGCUCAUUCUCCAUAUGCCUCAAGCCUUGAGUGAGGAAAACAGAAACCAUUAAAACGAUACACACAGACCUACGGAAAGGUGCCGGUAACCGUAUCACAUCAAUCCCCAAGUCCCCCUAGGGGGAAGCGACAGGAGAGGAGCAGUGAGGAAGUUGGGUAGCUUCAGGGAGAAUUGAACAUCCAUAGCCAAGGAGAAAAGGCUAAGUAUAGAAAAAUGUAAAUGGAUGGGCAUAUAUCAGUUUAUGGAAUAUAGCGUCACUGCUCGGAAAACGGAACUUCAGAUACCUUGGCUGAAAUAUCAGCUAUCACUACAUCCUAUGUAUAGUCAAUAGCUCAAUGGUUCUUGAGUUUGCAGGUUACACUCACCUGGGAAGCCUUGCAAAUCCUGAUGCCCAGGCCCCAUCCCAAUCAGAAUCUCUGUGGGUAUUUUCGUUUUUUGGUUUUUGUUUUUUUUGUUUUUUGUUUUUUGUUUUAAAACUUCUGGCAUCUUUUAACUUGUAGCCUGCGUUGCAAAUCACUGUUUCUGGGUCAGCGUUUAAUGGAGAGGCAAGCUCGUUUUUCGGUUUUUGUUAAAUUGUCUUGUUGUUUUAAUGAACACUUGUAAUUGUCUAACAGAACCAGUCCUCAUCUUGAUUCUUUUUAUACACUGAUAUCUUGCUUAAUCUUUCUCUCUCUUCUCUUCCUUUCUCUCUCUGCCUCUCGGUUUCUGUCUCGGUCGCAACCGGGGUUGCAAACACUGGAUUAAGAGACUGUAUUUGGUGGUGAAAAGCUUUGGUGUGUCAAAGAAGCAUGGGCUUAGAAAGCUCUCUACAGCCUGGUGAGAAAAUAACACAUCUUAAUACGGUUGCAUUCAAUGGAUGAUUGCAGAGAACAGAUUCGGAGGCCUCUCACGGAGCGUUUGCGAUGGUGGUAAAAGUGUAUUUUCACCGCGCUGACCAACUUUUACCCCUGGGUGAGACAUAUAUAGUAAGAAGUUGCUACAGCCAAUGUCAGGUUACUGCCCAUCUUCUCCGUUUUAGAAAACAUCCUACACAACAGUGGAACACGCAUACCCGUCCCCACACACACCCGUCGUCAGGAGGAAAAGGCUCCAAAGAUACGCAACAGCACCUGACACCAUCUGAUACACUUCCUUCCGCACUUGUAAGCUGCGAAGCCUUCCUCGAACCAGCAGGUGGACUGUGACAGGGGCGGGGACUGCCUCUGUACACUCAGUUUAACCUGUGACCAAUGGCUGCCACAUGGUAGGCGCUCAACAAAUGUAUUUAUUGAAGUAAAUGAGUAAUGAAGAAAAGGGAAUUUUACAGAAACAUAAAGUCUUCUGUAUUUUGAAGUAUCAACAGUGAACUAGUAAGAAAUCUGGUUUCAGUCAGAAUGAGGUCAAGACUGAUCAAAGAAAGAAUGGUCUCAAGUUCACAGGAUUACAAAUGGAGUCCCGAAGAGAACACAGGAGUAAACAUUAGACGUUAAUGCUUACCUUUAUUUUUGCUUUAAUUUCCUGAGCACGUACAACUGGAUCCUGGUCAAGACUCUUUUUAGCCUGAGCAUUCAUGAGGUUGUUCAUCCACUCCAUCACUUCAUUAACAGACUUCUCAACCUUUUUCAUCUCAGACUCAUCAAUAUGAUUGUAUUUCUCAUCCUGAAUGGAAAAAAAGCACAGUUAUCCUGUGAAACGAAGUAUUUAACAAUAACAUCUCACCUGACCCAAUUUUCCAUGAAGUUCAAACCUACCUCUGGUCUCAAACACAAAAACAAAUGUCUCACUUAGGAAGAUGUGUUCACAACGAAGGCUCCUCAACUUAGUAUUAGUUUAUUAAAAUCUAGGUUAACUUCCUUGCGAUGUAUAAAAAGACUUACAUUAUUUCUGAAGUCCGCGGCUAUCUUGGCAUAGUGCUGCAGUCUCUGUCCCAGUUCUUCGAACAUUUUUGGUCGUUCCUCAGCUUCUUGAAACCGAACUUUAACUGGAGUGCCAAUUUUCUAAAACAAAAUGUAAUAAAUUAGCAUUUGUCUAA